UACGAAGGGGGCUAGCGUUGCUCGGAAUCACUGGGCGUAAAGCGCACGUAGGCGGACUCUUAAGUCGGUGGUGAAAUCCUGGAGCUCAACUCCAGAACUGCCUUCGAUACUGAGAGUCUUGGGUCCGGGAGGGGUGAGUGGAACUGCGAGUGUAGAGGUGAAAUUCGUAGAUAUUCGCAAGAACACCAGUGGCGAAGGCGGCUCACUGGCCCGGUACUGACGCUGAGGUGCGAAAGCGUGGGGAGCAAACAGG
rnacentral:rRNA from 1 species